GGCAGAGGGGGCAAGCGUUGCUCGGAAUUACUGGGCGUAAAGGGCGCGUAGGCGGGAUGGCAAGUCGGUCGUGAAAUCCCUCGGCUCAACCGAGGAACGUCGAUCGAUACUGCUGUUCUUGAGGAUUGCAGAGGAGACUGGAAUUCCCGGUGUAGCGGUGAAAUGUGUAGAGAUCGGGAGGAACACCGGUGGCGAAGGCGGGUCUCUGGGCAAUUCCUGACGCUGAGGCGCGAAAGCGUGGGGAGCAAACAGG
rnacentral:rRNA from 1 species